UUUAGCGCAUGUUAGUACUUUCUAUAUUUUGCUAUUAUAAUACUUUUCCCUUUCCUUUUUAUGUUUGGUCUUUGUUUUGUUGAAUGAUGAAAUGAAAUAUCCCUGUUACAGAUAUAUCAUAUCAGCCACAUCACCUUCUAAAGUUAUUCCAAAGAUGGAGACAAGUUAUGAAAUUCUUUGCAAAACAUUUAAUGAUGAAGCUAAAACUAUUUUGGAGGUGACUGAAAACAAAAGCUUUUGAGUGCAUUCAAUCUGUGAACCCUGUGCUUAUUUUAGUUGAUGGCAUGUCAUUAAUUUUCUCCCAAAAG